rnacentral:rRNA from 1 species
GAUGAACGCUGACAGAAUGCUUAACACAUGCAAGUCUUUGGCGAAGCUGUGCUUGCACAGCCUAGCCAAGGCGGACGGGUGAGUAACGCGUAAGGAACUUGCCCUGCAGUCAGGGAUAACAGACGGAAACGACUGAUAAGACCUGGUAAAGUCAGGCGGACUCAUGUCCAGCCUGAUGAAAAGAGAUGCUGCAGGAGAGCCUUGCGUCCUAUUAGCUUGUUGGUGGGGUAACGGCCCACCAAGGCGAUGAGAGGUAGCCGGCCUGAGAGGGUGGACGGCCACAAGGGGACUGAGAUACGGCCCUUACUCCUACGGGAGGCAGCAGUGGAGAAUAGUGGACAAGGGGGGCAACCCUGAUCCAGCAAUUCUGUGUGCACGAUGAAGGUUUUCGGAUUGUAAAGUGCUUUCAGCAGGGAAGAAAAAAAUGACGGUACCUGCAGAAGAAGCGACGGCUAAAUACGUG